GGGUGAUCUGGCUGUGACAUCUGUCACCCCAUUGAUCGCCAGGGUUGAUUCGGUGAUCUGGCUGGCUCAGUCAAAGAGGACGACCAUCUCCGAUAGAGGAGGACCGUUCUUCAGUCAAGGGUAUGUGAGUAGCUGCGCUCCUCUGCUAAAACCUACAAACAAGCUCCCAAUAAUGCAUACUACUUUUCUAUAAUCUGGAAAAGAUGGACUUAAAAGUCUCAAAUCAAGGCUGGGAGUAUGGUUCAAGUGGUAGAGCACCUGCCUU
rnacentral:snRNA from 1 species